UUUUAACUCAUUUAUGUUUCAAGUUUGCCCUUAGUCUUGGUUGCCUGUCACCCACAGCAACUUUGACCUCCAGAACCCUUAGGGUUCACAUGCAGUGACUCUCCCUUCUGGGUUUCCACUGAAGGACCUUGCGGGACUGUCCAGGUCAAUGGCAGCUGUACAUGGUGGGAGAACCUGGGCCUGUUCCAAAGUGCUUUAUAGGACAAGGUUAAGCUCACAAACAUGAGUUGUGGACUUGGGGCCUUUCCUUUGUCUAACGGGCAAUAUCCUUACAUCCGGGACCUGGGGGUGCCGAGCCCGUGAACUUCCCUUGCGGCCUGUGGUUGGAGACAAAUAGCUGUGCUGGCUCCGUUGGCAGAGUUGGUGUUGGUUUUGGUGCCCCAACCUCCUUUUUCUGGAAUCUGCCCCAUAUUCAGUCCCCAGAUGGAAGUAAGCUGAUACUCAGAUGAUGAAACUGAGGUCUGGAGACC
rnacentral:lncRNA from 1 species